GACGAACGCUGGCGGCGUGCCUAACACAUGCAAGUCGAACGGAAAGGCCCUGCUUUUGUGGGGUGCUCGAGUGGCGAAAGGGUGAGUAACACGUGAGUAACCUGCCCCUGACUUUGGGAUAACUUCAGGAAACUGGGGCUAAUACCGGAUAGGAGCUCCUGCUGCAUGGUGGGGGUUGGAAAGUUUCGGCGGUUGGGGAUGGACUCGCGGCUUAUCAGCUUGUUGGUGGGGUAGUGGCUUACCAAGGCUUUGACGGGUAGCCGGCCUGAGAGGGUGACCGGCCACAUUGGGACUGAGAUACGGCCCAGACUCCUACGGGAGGCAGCAGUGGGGAAUAUUGCACAAUGGGCGGAAGCCUGAUGCAGCAACGCCGCGUGCGGGAUGACGGCCUUCGGGUUGUAAACCGCUUUCGCCUGUGACGAAGCGUGAGUGACGGUAAUGGGUAAAGAAGCACCGGCUAACUACGUG
rnacentral:rRNA from 1 species